rnacentral:rRNA from 1 species
GUGCCAGCCGCCGCGGUAAUACAGAGACCUCAAGCGUUAUCCGGAAUCAUUGGGCGUAAAGCGUACCGAUAGGUUGCCUACAAAGUCAGAGGUAAAAUCUCCGAGCUCAACUCGGAGUCUGUCCUUUGAAACUUGUAGACUAGAGGGGCAAAGAGGAAGCUGGAACAAACGGUGUAGUAGUGAAAUGCGUUGAUAUCGUUUGGAACACCAAUAGCGAAGGCAGGCUUCUGGGUGCCACCUGACACUUCUAGGACGAAAGCGUGGGGAGCGAAUGGGAUUAGAAACCCUCGUAGUCC